rnacentral:rRNA from 1 species
UACGUAGGGGGCAAGCGUUGUCCGGAUUAUUGGGCGUAAAGAGCUCGUAGGCGGCUUAGUAAGUCGGGUGUGAAACCUCCAGGCUCAACCUGGAGACGCCACCCGGUACUGCUGUGGCUAGAGUCCGGUAGGGGAGCGUGGAAUUCCUGGUGUAGCGGUGAAAUGCGCAGAUAUCAGGAGGAACACCAGCGGCGAAGGCGGCGCCUCUGGGCCGGUACUGACGCUGAGGAGCGAAAGCGUGGGUAGCGAACAGG